GUGCCAGCAGCUGCGGUAAUACGGAGGGUGCAAGCGUUAAUCGGAAUUACUGGGCGUAAAGCGCACGCAGGCGGUCUGUCAAGUCGGAUGUGAAAUCCCCGGGCUCAACCUGGGAACUGCAUUCGAAACUGGCAGGCUAGAGUCUUGUAGAGGGGGGUAGAAUUCCAGGUGUAGCGGUGAAAUGCGUAGAGAUCUGGAGGAAUACCGGUGGCGAAGGCGGCCCCCUGGACAAAGACUGACGCUCAGGUGCGAAAGCGUGGGGAGCAAACAGGAUUAGAUACCCUGGUAGUCCACGCCGUAAACGAUGUCGACUUGGAGGUUGUGCCCUUGAGGCGUGGCUUCCGGAGCUAACGCGUUAAGUCGACCGCCUGGGGAGUACGGCCGCAAGGUUAAACUCAAAUGAAUUGGACGGGGCCCGACGACAAGCGGUGGAGCAGUGU
rnacentral:rRNA from 1 species